rnacentral:rRNA from 1 species
AACGAACGCUGGAGGCAUGCAUAACACAUGCAAGUCGAACGAGACCUUAGGGUCUAAUAGAGCAAGAGUGCGUAACGCGUGGGAACCUGCACUUAGGUUCGGAAUAACUCCCCGAAAGGGGUGCUAAUACCGGAUAAUGUCUUCGGACCAAAGAUUUAUCGCCUUUGGAUGGGCCCGCGUUGGAUUAGCUAGUUGGUAGGGUAAAAGCCUACCAAGGCGACGAUCCAUAGCUGGUCUGAGAGGAUGAUCAGCCACACUGGGACUGAGACACGGCCCAGACUCCUACGGGAGGCAGCAGUGGGGAAUAUUGGACAAUGGGCGAAAGCCUGAUCCAGCAAUGCCGCGUGAGUGAUGAAGGCCUUAGGGUUGUAAAGCUCUUUUACCCGGGAUGAUAAUGACAGUACCGGGAGAAUAAGCUCCGGCUAACUCCGUG